CGGGGCGUAGUAUACCGGUAGUACAUCUGCUUUGGGAGCAGACAGACCGAGUUCGAUUCUCGGCGCCCCGACCA
rnacentral:tRNA from 2 species